UACGGGGGGGGCAAGCGUUGUUCGGAAUUACUGGGCGUAAAGGGCUCGUAGGUGGCCAACUAAGUCAGACGUGAAAUCCCUCGGCUUAACCGGGGAACUGCGUCUGAUACUGGAUGGCUUGAGUUCGGGAGAGGGAUGCGGAAUUCCAGGUGUAGCGGUGAAAUGCGUAGAUAUCUGGAGGAACUCCGGUGGCGAAGGCGGCAUCCUGGACCGGCACUGACACUGAGGAGCGAAAGCCAGGGGAGCAAACAGG
rnacentral:rRNA from 1 species